UACGAAGGGGGCUAGCGUUGUUCGGAAUUACUGGGCGUAAAGCGCACGUAGGCGGAUUUGUAAGUCAGGGGUGAAAUCCCGGGGCUCAACCUCGGAACUGCCUUUGAUACUGCAAAUCUCGAGUCCGAUAGAGGUGGGUGGAAUUCCUAGUGUAGAGGUGAAAUUCGUAGAUAUUAGGAAGAACACCGGUGGCGAAGGCGGCCCACUGGAUCGGUACUGACGCUGAGGAGCGAAAGCGUGGGGAGCAAACAGG
rnacentral:rRNA from 1 species